GAAAGAUGGCUUUGGCUAUCACUCUGGGAUGGACCUGCGGUGCAUUAGCUAGUUGGUAAGGUAACGGCUUACCAAGGCGAUGAUGCAUAGCCGAGUUGAGAGACUGAUCGGCCACAAUGGAACUGAGACACGGUCCAUACUCCUACGGGAGGCAGCAGUAGGGAAUCUUCCACAAUGGGCGCAAGCCUGAUGGAGCAACACCGCGUGAGUGAAGAAGGGUUUCGGCUCGUAAAGCUCUGUUGUUGGAGAAGAGCGUGCGUGAGAGUAACUGUUCAUGCAGUGACGGUAUCCAACCAGAAAGUCACGGCUAACUACGUGCCAGCAGCCGCGGUAAUACGUAGGUGGCAAGCGUUAUCCGGAUUUAUUGGGCGUAAAGCGAGCGCAGGCGGUUGCUUAGGUCUGGUGUGAAAGCCUUCGGCUUAACCGAAGAAGUGCAUCGGAAACCGGGCGACUUGAGUGCAGAAGAGGACAGUGGAACUCCAUGUGUAGCGGUGGAAUGCGUAGAUAUAUGGAAGAACACCAGUGGCGAAGGCGGCUGUCUGGUCUGCAACUGACGCUGAGGCUCGAAAGCAUGGGUAGCGAACAGGAUUAGAUACCCUGGUAGUCCAUGCCGUAAACGAUGAGUGCUAGGUGUUGGAGGGUUUCCGCCCUUCA
rnacentral:rRNA from 1 species